GACGGACGCUGGCGGCGUGCUUAACACAUGCAAGUCGAACGGAAAGGCCCUGCUUUUGUGGGGUGCUCGAGUGGCGAACGGGUGAGUAACACGUGAGUAACCUGCCCUUGACUUUGGGAUAACUUCAGGAAACUGGGGCUAAUACCGGAUAGGAGCUCCUGCUGCAUGGUGGGGGUUGGAAAGUUUCGGCGGUUGGGGAUGGACUCGCGGCUUAUCAGCUUGUUGGUGGGGUAGUGGCUUACCAAGGCUUUGACGGGUAGCCGGCCUGAGAGGGUGACCGUCCACAUUGGGACUGAGAUACGGCCCAGACUCCUACGGGAGGCAGCAGUGGGGAAUAUUGCACAAUGGGCGGAAGCCUGAUGCAGCAACGCCGCGUGCGGGAUGACGGCCUUCGGGUUGUAAACCGCUUUCGCCUGUGACGAAGCGUGAGUGACGGUAAUGGGUAAAGAAGCACCGGCUAACUACGUGCCAGCAGCCGCGGUGAUACGUAGGGUGCGAGCGGUGUCCGGAUUUAUUGGGCGUAAAGGGCUCGUAGGUGGUUGAUCGCGUCGGAAGUGUAAUCUUGGGGCAUAACCCUGAGCGUGCUUUCGAUACGGGUUGACUUGAGGAAGGUAGGGGAGAAUGGAAUUCCUGGUGGAGCGGUGGAAUGCGCAGAUAUCAGGAGGAACACCAGUGGCGAAGGCGGUUCUCUGGGCCUUUCCUGACGCUGAGGAGCGAAAGCGUGGGGAGCGAACAGGCUUAGAUACCCUGGUAGUCCACGCUGUAAACGGUGGGUACUAGGUGUGGGGUCCAUUCCACGGGUUCCGUGCCGUAGCUAACGCCUUAAGUACCCCGCCUGGGGAGUACGGCCGCAAGGCUAAAACUCAAAGGAAUUGACGGGGCCCCGCACAAGCGGCGGAGCAUGCGGAUUAAUUCGAUGCAACGCGUAGAACCUUACCUGGGUUUGACAUGGAUCGGGAGUGCUCAGAGAUGGGUGUGCCUCUUUUGGGGUCGGUUCACAGGUGGUGCAUGGCUGUCGUCAGCUCGUGUCGUGAGAUGUUGGGUUAAGUCCCGCAACGAGCGCAACCCUUGUUCACUGUUGCCAGCACGUUAUGGUGGGGACUCAGUGGAGACCGCCGGGGUCAACUCGGAGGAAGGUGGGGAUGACGUCAAGUCAUCAUGCCCCUUAUGUCCAGGGCUUCACGCAUGCUACAAUGGCUGGUACAGAGAGUGGCGAGCCUGUGAGGGUGAGCGAAUCUCGGAAAGCCGGUCUCAGUUCGGAUUGGGGUCUGCAACUCGACCUCAUGAAGUCGGAGUCGCUAGUAAUCGCAGAUCAGCAACGCUGCGGUGAAUACGUUCCCGGGGCU
rnacentral:rRNA from 1 species